rnacentral:lncRNA from 1 species
AGAUUCAUAUCAGGAAAAGACAAAUCCAGUAAAUCAUUGGAAGAGUAAGAUGGAUUACCAGAUGAAGAACUAGAAGGAGAAGUUUCAGUAGGACCUUCACUUGGCAAAUCAGAUUGGAUUUUUUCCUGAGAGACAAUUGGAUUUGUAAUACCUCUGUGAAACCUUUUUCGGACAUACACUUGAAGUUGAGGAUUAGGAUCCUCAAU